rnacentral:ribozyme from 10 species
GCUGACAUUGCAUUGAAAGUGGCAAAGGUUGAUACGCUGGAGGGCAAGGUCAACGCGACCGAAGAUUCUAUCGAAGAAGACGACAAAGCAGCGGACGCUGCCAAGAAGGUCCGGAAAGAACAGAAGACGGCUUACG